rnacentral:rRNA from 1 species
UGUGGAGGGAACGCGGGGAAGUGAAACAUCUCAGUACCCGCAGGAAGAGAAAACAACCGUGAUUCCGGGAGUAGUGGUGAGCGAAACCGGAUGAGGCCAAACCAGUCACGUGUGAUACCCGGCAGGGGUUGCGUGGUUGGGGUUGUGGGAGUUCUCUUGAUCGGUCUGCCGGCCGGUCGGUGAGUCAGAAACCGUUGAUGUAGGCGAAGGACAUGCGAAAGGUCCGGCGUAGAGGGUAAGACCCCCGUAGCUGAAACAUUAGCGGCUCGCUUGAGAACCACCCAAGUAGCACGGGGCCCGUGAAAUCCCGUGUGAAUCUGGCGGGACCACCCGUUAAGCCUAAAUAUUCCCUGGUGACCGAUAGC